rnacentral:rRNA from 1 species
GAUGAACGCUGGCGGCGUGCCUAAUACAUGCAAGUCGAGCGAACAGACGAGGAGCUUGCUCCUCUGACGUUAGCGGCGGACGGGUGAGUAACACGUGGAUAACCUACCUAUAAGACUGGGAUAACUUCGGGACACCGGAGCUAAUACCGGAUAAUAUAUUGAACCGCAUGGUUCAAUAGUGAAAGACGGUUUUGCUGUCACUUAUAGAUGGAUCCGCGCGGUAUUAGCUAGUUGGUAAGGUAACGGCUUACCAAGGCAACGAUGCGUAGCCGACCGGAGAGGGGGAUCGGCCACACUGGAACUGAGACACGGACCAGACGACUAAGGGAGGCAGCAGUAGGGAAUCGUACGCAACGGGCGAAAGCCUGACGGAGCAACGCCGCGUGAGUGAUGAAGGUCUUCGGAUCGUAAAACUCUGUUAUUAGGGAAGAACAAAUGUGUAAGUAAAUAUGCACGUCUUGACGGUACCUAAUCAGAAAGCCACGGCUAACUACGUG